rnacentral:rRNA from 1 species
AGAGCGAACGCUGGCGGCAUGCUUAACACAUGCAAGUCGCACGGGCAGGGGAAACCCUGUCAGUGGCGGACGGGUGAGUAACGCGUAGGUAUCUAUCCUUGGGUGGGGGAUAACGGUUGGAAACGACUGCUAAUACCGCAUGAUAACUGAGGUUUAAAGGCGCAAGUCGCCUGGGGAGGAGCCUGCGUACGAUUAGCUUGUUGGUGGGGUAAAGCCUACCAAGGCGACGAUCGUUAGCUGGUCUGAGAGGAUGAUCAGCCACAUUGGGACUGAGACACGGCCCAAACUCCUACGGGAGGCAGCAGUGGGGAAUAUUGGACAAUGGGCGAAAGCCUGAUCCAGCAAUGCCGCGUGUGUGAAGAAGGUCUUCGGAUUGUAAAGCACUUUCGACAGGGACGAUGAUGACGGUACCUGUAGAAGAACGCCCGGCUAACUUCGCGCCAGCAGCCGC